AACGAACGCUGGCGGCAUGCCUAACACAUGCAAGUCGAACGAGACCUUCGGGUCUAGUGGCGCACGGGUGCGUAACGCGUGGGAAUCUACCCCUUGGGUUCGGAAUAACUCAGAGAAAUUUGAGCUAAUACCGGAUGAUGUCGCAAGACCAAAGAUUUAUCGCCCCAAGGACGAGCCCGCGUAGGAUUAGCUUGUUGGUGAGGUAAAAAGCUCACCAAGGCGACGAUCCUUAGCUGGUCUGAGAGGAUGAUCAGCCACACUGGGACUGAGACACGGCCCAGACUCCUACGGGAGGCAGCAGUGGGGAAUAUUGGACAAUGGGCGAAAGCCUGAUCCAGCAAUGCCGCGUGAGUGAUGAAGGCCUAGGGUUGUAAAGCUCUUUUACCCGGGAUGAUAAUGACAGUACCGGGAGAAUAAGCCCCGGCUAACUCCGUGCCAGCAGCCGCGGUAAU
rnacentral:rRNA from 1 species